rnacentral:rRNA from 1 species
UACGUAGGGGGCAAGCGUUGUCCGGAAUCAUUGGGCGUAAAGCGCGUGUAGGCGGCCCGAUAAAGUCCGCUGUGAAAUCCCCCGGGCUCAACCCGGGAACUGCGUCCGAUACUGGCGGGCUUGAAUCCGGGAGAGGGAUGCGGAAUUCCAGGUGUAGCGGUGAAAUGCGUAGAUAUCUGGAGGAACACCGGUGGCGAAGGCGGGUCUCUGGGCCGAUACUGACGCUGAGGAGCGAAAGCGUGGGGAGCGAACAGG